rnacentral:rRNA from 3 species
AUGGCUCAGUGAGGCCUUCGGACUGGCCCAGGGAGGUCGGCAACGACCACCCAGGGCCGGAAAGUUCGUCAAACUUGGUCAUUUAGAGGAAGUAAAAGUCGUAACAAGGUCUCCGUAGGUGAACCUGCGGAGGGAUCAUUA